rnacentral:rRNA from 1 species
GAUGAACGCUGGCGGCGUGCCUAAUACAUGCAAGUCGAGCGAACAGACGAGGAGCUUGCUCCUUUGACGUUAGCGGCGGACGGGUGAGUAACACGUGGGUAACCUACCUAUAAGACUGGGAUAACUUCGGGAAACCGGAGCUAAUACCGGAUAAUAUUUCGAACCGCAUGGUUCGAUAGUGAAAGAUGGCUUUGCUAUCACUUAUAGAUGGACCUGCGCCGUAUUAGCUAGUUGGUAAGGUAACGGCUUACCAAGGCAACGAUACGUAGCCGACCUGAGAGGGUGAUCGGCCACACUGGAACUGAGACACGGUCCAGACUCCUACGGGAGGCAACAGUAGGGAAUCUUCCGCAAUGGGCGAAAGCCUGACGGAGCAACGCCGCGUGAGUGAUGAAGGUCUUCGGAUCGUAAAACUCUGUUAUUAGGGAAGAACAAAUGUGUAAGUAACUGUGCACGUCUUGACGGUACCUAACCAGAAAGCCACGGCUAACUACGUGCCAGCAGCCGCGGUAAUACGUAGGUGGCAAGCGUUAUCCGGAAUUAUUGGGCGUAAAGCGCGCGUAGGCGGUUUUUUAAGUCUGAUGUGAAAGCCCACGGCUCAACCGUGGAGGGUCAUUGGAAACUGGAAAACUUGAGUGCAGAAGAGGAAAGUGGAAUUCCAUGUGUAGCGGUGAAAUGCGCAGAGAUAUGGAGGAACACCAGUGGCGAAGGCGACUUUCUGGUCUGUAACUGACGCUGAUGUGCGAAAGCGUGGGGAUCAAACAGGAUUAGAUACCCUGGUAGUCCACGCCGUAAACGAUGAGUGCUAAGUGUUAGGGGGGUUCCGCCCCUUAGUGCUGCAGCUAACGCAUUAAGCACUCCGCCUGGGGAGUACGACCGCAAGGUUGAAACUCAAAGGAAUUGACGGGGACCCGCACAAGCGGUGGAGCAUGUGGUUUAAUUCGAAGCAACGCGAAGAACCUUACCAAAUCUUGACAUCCUUUGACCCUUCUAGAGAUAGAAGUUUCCCCUUCGGGGGACAAAGUGACAGGUGGUGCAUGGUUGUCGUCAGCUCGUGUCGUGAGAUGUUGGGUUAAGUCCCGCAACGAGCGCAACCCUUAAGCUUAGUUGCCAUCAUUAAGUUGGGCACUCUAAGUUGACUGCCGGUGACAAACCGGAGGAAGGUGGGGAUGACGUCAAAUCAUCAUGCCCCUUAUGAUUUGGGCUACACACGUGCUACAAUGGACAAUACAAAGGGCAGCGAAACCGCGAGGUCAAGCAAAUCCCAUAAAGUUGUUCUCAGUUCGGAUUGUAGUCUGCAACUCGACUACAUGAAGCUGGAAUCGCUAGUAAUCGUAGAUCAGCAUGCUAUGGUGAAUACGUUCCCGGGUCUUGUACACACCGCCCGUCACACCACGAGAGUUUGUAACACCCGAAGCCGGUGGAGUAACCUUUUGGAGCUAGCCGUCGAAGGUGGGACAAAUGAUUGGGGUGAAGUCGUAACAAGGUAGCCGUAUCGGAAGG